rnacentral:lncRNA from 1 species
GGGAUGGAGUUCUACCACCACUGCACCACAUGUCCACGGGUUUAGAUGUAGAACUAGGGGGAUGGAGUUCUACCACCACCACCAGGUCGACUUGUUGAUGGUCCUGUAUCUAUCCCUGUACUCAUCAACCUUCUCCCUACAAUAUCAUAUAUAUAUUUAACUAUAUAAAUGAAAGGUAUGUGAAUAAUUCAGUUUCAAGCAACGAUAAAAGGCAGAAAAUUACUAUAGACGAACUAUGUUAAUGAAACCAGAUUAAAAAAAAAAAUGAAACAUUCGAGGGGAAAAUAUAUAAGAAGAGAUAGAUUAUAUUAUAGAUUUGUGUCAAAUUAUGACCACCACUUUGUACGUGUUGUGGUGGUGGUACAUCUCGUGGCCUAGGUAGACGGCCAAAAUAUUUUAAUUACAGAAUACAAAAAAAAAACAUUAUUAUAAUUUCUUAUUUAGCUAAACUUUUUUUUUUUGAGAAAAAAAAGAGAGCUAAAUUUCCAUUUCGACCUAUCCCACUUAACUUUUUGAGACAUAUUCAACAUCUCAUCCAUAGACAAAUUUCAUGAACUCAAAUGGCAGGUACGCAACUUAUAUGUGUUAUGGUUUAUGCAUGGUCGGAACUGGGCACAACUUAGUACAAGGAUCCAAAAUAUUUUAGAAGAUAAAAUCCAAAUUACAAAAUAUUUUAUUUAUUAAAGUUCUUCAAAAUUAUUUUCCCAUGAUAUCUCAGAUCCAGCUUGGAUUUAUGCAUGUUAAUUAUUUGUAUUGAAACACUAACCGAUGACUGAAAGUGGUUGUUGAUGAGACGGUAUAGCAGAUUCAGCAAGGCAAGGUAUGACGCAAAGAAGCAGAAGCACAAUGAAGGCUUGCCUUAGCUGUGAAGAACCCAUGUCUCUUAUCUCUUCCUUCACCGAUAGAAGGCUUUACAUAUAACGAUGGAUCGGACAGGCGAAAAGUGUAAGAAAUACAAUCAAAACUAGAGAAAAGGAUAAACCACAAUGAAAAAGGUGUAAACCGUUCUUCUCCAUUCAAUUCAAUUAUUGCUCCUCUUGAUAUCUCUCAGUGACAUUUUUUUUCUUUU